rnacentral:rRNA from 1 species
GGGUGCGAUCAUACCAGCACUAAUGCACCGGAUCCCAUCAGAAUUUUGCAGUUAAGCGUGCUUGGGCGAGACUAGUACUAGGAUGGGUGACCUCCUGGGAAGUCCUCGUGUUGCACCCU